AUGGUGGGGCUGGGAGCGCUGGGAGCCUGGAGUCGGUCUGUACCGCGCAGGGCGGGGACCGAGGCUGGAGGCCGGGUUCCGACCGGGGCGCACCCGGAGGGGAGCCGAGUACGCGCGGGGGUCCGGACUAGGACCUGCCCUCGCGUGCUCGUCCCUUCCCCUCGAGCCACCCCACUCACUUCCCCCUUCUGUCUGUCUCCCACUCCGCAAGGGUACCGAGAACUUUGUGGGAAUCGACGGAUUUCUCUGGCAGUCGUUUGCACUGAAUUUAUCCGAAUAAAGCCCACUCUCAGGCAUCCAGCAGAACCAGCUCUCCACUGGCAAGUACUUGCUGUAGCAGCCAUCUUGUCACCAGGAGGAAAAGUGCAAGAAAACAGCAGAGACUUAAUUCUGAUGUCACUGGGACAUGGACCUACCAUCAUACCAGGGAUUGAACUCGGGACCUUGCACUCACCAGGCAGGUGCGGCACCACUGAGGGCCUGCUUCAGCCUCUAGAAGCUAAAAGGACUAUAUCCUCCUUCUUCCUGGCCUGGCAGUUGAAGUUCCACCAAGCGGACACCCCAUCCGGACCUCUGACUCUCAAGGGACAGAGUCCUGCCCAGGGUGGACUUGAACUCCUGCUUCAGUCUCCUGAGUGCUGGGAUUACAGGUGUGCAUUACCGUACCUCGAAACAGCUGCCUUUUAAGGCCUUAAGCCACCCAGGCUUUGGAACAGAGGAGCAGAUCAAAGCCAGGUGCAGCUGCGCUGGGACACUCUCCUUUUUGGCUGGGGUGACACUUUGCCCUUGGAAGCACUGGUGUUCAUGUUCACCAUUCAAGGAUACGCAAAGUGACAGCAUGAAGACAGGCACAGCUUUGUGUUUGCUGUUCCCUCUACCUGGUAAACCCUUCUCCCAAGUUGGCCCAUAGCUGCUCUAUCUCAGGAAUCAGACUCUACCUCAAUGUCCCUCUGCUACCUACCAGUACACUCCACGGCUGCCUGAGAUUGUGCAGUUUGGGCAUCACAGAAGCACCAUCCAGGGGAGGUGGGUGAGGCCAAAGUCCCCUCCAUCUCUGCCCCUCAAGGUUUUACCAGAGAGGGGCCAGCAGACACCUUGGUCACUGUGUCUAAGUCACCACUCUCCACCUUCCAACACUCUCUCCCAUUGUUCACUUUUGCCUCCACAGCAUGAAUCAGCACUCUCUGAAACUGUGCCUUUCACACAUUGGAAAUAUAUUGUUAACCUACUUGUUACCUGUGUCCUCCUACCGUAAUGUAAAUCUCCCAGGAGUGAAGUCUGCCUUGUUCCUGUUUGUUCCUCUAGUGCCUGAGAUGUAGUAGAUGGUAAAUAAAUACUCAGUAAGCAGUGUUUUGUCUUUCUUUAUUUUGAGGUG
rnacentral:lncRNA from 1 species